GAAAUGCGAUAAGUAAUGUGAAUUGCAGAAUUCAGUGAAUCAUCGAAUCUUUGAACGCACAUUGCGCCCGCCAGUAUUCUGGCGGGCAUGCCUGUUCGAGCGUCAUUACAACCCUCAGGCCCCCGGGCCUGGCGUUGGGGAUCGGCGGAAGCCCCCUGCGGGCACAACGCCGUCCCCCAAAUACAGUGGCGGUCCCGCCGCAGCUUCCAUUGCGUAGUAGCUAACACUUCGCAACUGGAGAGCGGCGCGGCCACGCCGUAAAACACCCAACUUCUGAAUGUUGACCUCGAAUCAGGUAGGAAUACCCGCUGAACUUAAGC
rnacentral:misc_RNA from 1 species